rnacentral:tRNA from 1 species
UGGGAUGUAGCUCAGAGGUAGAGUGCUGCCUAGUAAGCAUGAGGUUCUGGGUUAGAUCCCCAGCACUGCAA